ACUGGGGCGGUCGCCUCCUAAAUAGCAACGGAGGCGUUUACAAAGGUUGGCUAGGUCCGGAUGGAAAUCGGGCCGAUAGCGCAAAAGCACAAGCCAGCUUUACUGGAAGACCCAUAAGUCGAUCAGUUACGAAAGUAGAAUUUAGUGAACCGACCAUCCCACGUAGGUGGGUGGAAGAUCAUCAGAUAAAAGUNNGGUACGCGAGCUGGGUUCAAACCGUCGUGAGACAGGUUGGUCUCUAUCUGCUGUAGGCGUGAGUGCUUGAGAGGACUCUUUCUUAGUACGAGAGGACCGGAAAGAACAAACCUCUGGUGUAUCGGUUGUUCCGCCAGGAGCAUUGCCGAGUAGCUAUGUUUGGACGAGAUAACCGCUGAAAGCAUCUAAGCGGGAAGCUCACCUCAAGAUAAGGCACUAGCCAUGAUUCGUCAUGGUAGGACAUCCUAGAAGACUACUAGGUUGAUAGGCUUUAGGUGUAAGUUCGGCAACGAAUUUAGCCAAGAAGUACUAAUAUGUUCAUU
rnacentral:rRNA from 1 species